GCAACAUUUCAUAUUAACAUUCAACAUUGUAACAUUAUAUAUAUAUCUGAAAAUAAGGAAAAGCGUAAUAAGUCCCGUUUAGGACAUAAAGUACUACACCGAAAUGUCCCGAACACAUGCAGAGGACCUGUUGUAUGAUCAAAACCCUGGAUCUGAGGGAUUCACCUGGUGCUUAGUAUUGAAGACUGAAGCUGUUUUCCUAACUGCAGUGAUGAAGGGUAACAGGCUGAUUCUUGCUUCUUGGUUGGAUGCUACUUGUGGACUCUUCCAGGAUCAGUUUUAUCUUCACUCUACCAGAAGAAAACCAGGUCAUCCCAAUGAGCAUGUCUGAAGAUGCUGUUUGACAUGUACUUUACUUGCAACAAAACAAUGUUGAAAAUUAUCCAGGACAAAUACUUUAAAAAAAGUGAACACUGAAAUAUUUGCAGAUGUCUGGAGAAAAGCACAAGGUUCUGCAGAUGGGAAACUAGAAGAAAAAGACAGAGGGGAUAAGGCUUUAACCAACCAUCAAAUGCAAGCAAUCUGUGUUUAUACCACUGGAUAUCAGACACUUUAUAGGAUGGGUCUAUUUGUAGAAGGUCUGGGUGAUUGUGAGGUUGUCUAUAACCUGGAAAGCACAGGAGUUCAAAGCAAUCUAAACUGCAAAGCUGCAUUCCCACGAGAGACUAGUGUUUCUUCUUCAGCUUGUGGAGCAAAGUGAAAACAUUUAGUCUUGUAUUGCAAACUGUGUUCAUUUCAACCUUUUAAAAUCCAAGCUCAUUACCAUAUCUAAUCAUAUUCCUUAACCCCUACAUUCAUGCUUGUUUGUUGAACCAACAGUUCCUCAUAAGACUGAUUCACAGAGCUGCUUAGGGCAACUUUUAGUAAGGAGCUGAGAGAACUCCUAACCUAUAAGAAGGGGCGAGGUUGACCCUGUCGCUAUGGAUGACAACAUGUUUCAUGAAUGAACUUAAUCACUAUGUCCACAGCUUUUGAUUGACAGGUGACUGGUUUGUGUCAGUGAACACGAAAUAAAAUAUUCAUCAAUACACAAGAGGGAAAAGAAUAAAUUAAACUUAAUUAGAAAUAUAUAUCUAGAAAACCUUCCUAACUGGACUAUAAUGAAUCUAUAGCUAUUUAUAUGUUAUGUUUGCUGUAGGCCAUUAGUCCUGAAGUGGUAGAAGAAGCCUGUGGUGAAAUA